rnacentral:lncRNA from 1 species
AGGUACCGGCUGGUCAAACAGAUCCUCUCCCGAGCUAACACCAUACCCAUCAUUGGUUCCCCCUCCAGCAAGCGGAGAAGCCCUUUGCUGCAGCCAAUUAUCGAGGGCGAAACUGCUUCCUUCUUCAAGGAGAUAAAGAAGAGGAGGGGUCAGAAGACGAUAGCAAUGUGAAGCCAGACUUCAUGGUCACUCUGAAAACCGAUUUCAGUGCACGAUGCUUUCUGGACCAAUUCGAAGAUGACGCUGAUGGAUUUAUUUCCCCAAUGGAUGAUAAAAUACCAUCAAAAUGCAGCCAGGACACAGGGCUUUCAAAUCUCCAUGCUGCCUCAAUACCUGAACUCCUGGAACACCUCCAGGAAAUGAGAGAAGAAAAGAAAAGGAUUCGAAAGAAACUUCGG